GGGCCGCUAGCUCAGUUGGCAGAGCAUCUGACUUUUAAUCAGAGGGUCGGGGGUUCAAUUCCCCCGCGGCUCA
rnacentral:tRNA from 1 species